rnacentral:lncRNA from 1 species
AUGAGCAGGUCAGCCAUAGAGAACCUGCAGGUGAUCCUGGCCUGUCAGGUGACUCAGAAGAAUGCUCUGAUUGGUGCAGUGAAGCAGGUGUACCUCUGCAAUUGGUCAGAGACUUUCACGGGCUCUCCUGGGGAGGAUCUCAGUUCCAGCUGUGAUUUGAAUUCCUUAGUGAAGCUGGGUCCUGGAGUUACGAGUGAACCAAAGACAACCGGUAGCAGAACCAAGGGCAGGUUGGCUGAGGCGUUUGUCUCCAUUCAGCUGGAGAAAGUGGGUCCACAAGAUGAGAUGCUGAACUCUUUCAUAAAGAGACAGACCAAGAGUGUUGUGAUAACCCCUGUAAGUGGAAGGUCGUAG